rnacentral:pre_miRNA from 1 species
CAACCUCCUCAGGCUGACUGGCUUUCAGGCUGUGCUGGGUGAGUAGCUCUUUGAGAGGGACACCCUCAAGCACACGACUAGGAGC